rnacentral:rRNA from 1 species
AUGCACGCUGGCGGCAUGCCUAACACAUGCAAGUCGAUCGGUAAGGCUCUUCGGAGUACACGAGAGGCGGACGGCUGAGUAACGCGUAGGAACACACCCUGCAGUGAGGGAUAAGACACCGAAAGGUGUUCUAAUACCGCAUACGGUCUUCGGAUUAAAGCAUUUAUGCGCUGAAGGAGUGGCCUGCGUCAUAUUAGAUAGUUGGUGAGGUAAUGGCUCACCAAGUCGAUGAUGUGUAGCUGGUCUGAGAGGAUGAUCAGCCAGACUGGAACUGAGACACGGUCCAGACUCCUACGGGAGGCAGCAGUGAGGAAUAUUUCACAAUGAGCGAAAGCUUGAUGGAGCAAUGCCGCGUGCAGGAUGAAGGCCUUCGGGUUGUAAACUGCUUUUAUAAGAGAAGAUUAUGACGGUAACUUAUGAAUAAGGGACGGCUAACUACG